rnacentral:rRNA from 1 species
CCUACGGGAGGCAGCAGUGGGGAAUUUUGGACAAUGGGCGCAAGCCUGAUCCAGCCAUGCCGCGUGCAGGAUGAAGGCCUUCGGGUUGUAAACUGCUUUUGUACGGAACGAAAAGACUCUGGUUAAUACCUGGGGUCCAUGACGGUACCGUAAGAAUAAGCACCGGCUAACUACGUGCCAGCAGCCGCGGUAAUACGUAGGGUGCGAGCGUUAAUCGGAAUUACUGGGCGUAAAGCGUGCGCAGGCGGUUAUAUAAGACAGAUGUGAAAUCCCCGGGCUCAACCUGGGAACUGCAUUUGUGACUGUAUAGCUAGAGUACGGCAGAGGGGGAUGGAAUUCCGCGUGUAGCAGUGAAAUGCGUAGAUAUGCGGAGGAACACCGAUGGCGAAGGCAAUCCCCUGGGCCUGUACUGACGCUCAUGCACGAAAGCGUGGGGAGCAAACAGGAUUAGAUACCCUGGUAGUCCACGCCCUAAACGAUGUCAACUGGUUGUUGGGUCUUCACUGACUCAGUAACGAAGCUAACGCGUGAAGUUGACCGCCGUGGGGAGUACGGCCGCGAAGGUUGAAACUCAAAUGAAUUGACGG